GGCGCGCGCAGCCCCUUCCGGCGCGUGCCGGGGGGAAAACAGCGCGAAACGGCCCGCUGUGUCCCGGCUGUUCGACGCGCUCCCUGCUGCAUGCUCAAGCGCGUGCGUGUGCGCGCGCACGCACAGUGUGUGUUGGCUGCGCUGCGCCAUGGCCGCCGUGAGCAUCACGGAGCCUCUCUGCAAACCCACAGUGUAUGACGGCAGAUUCAGAGUGGAGCUGCAUGUGAAAAAGCCCCUGAUGCCCAUCCACUUGAGCAAGAAGCAGGUGCGACUGGAGAUGCUGUGUCUCUGCAGCCAGCUGGACCUUCUCAUUAGGGCUCAGUUUCAAGAGCAGCUCAAACAAGAUUGCAGCCCCGUGGAGUCGGACGCUUUCCGCCGAGAAGGCAGGUGACCCCAAAGCCUUCGCGCAAUGUUUCCGUGUCGUAAACGAUUCUUGCGGUGGCAUCCGAGUGGUUCCACACUGGGAAUCCUCUGCGUUCUCCACACAGCUGCUGAGGUCAUGGAGAAGAUGAUCCUUUGCCUGGAACACCUACCUGAGCCUGUUCCUCAGCUGGAGGACUACCUGGAUGCAGUGGGACUGUCGACCAUGUUCCCACGGGUGGAGGUCUUCAUUAUCCAUGGAAGUCCAGUGGACAUGCUGGAAAAGCCUGUCAUGGACGAUUAUUUUCCACACAUCGGGAAGCUGAACCAGUUGCUCGUUCUCAGCCAGCAGCUUGAGGACGAUGUGCAGCACCUGGGGAGUCAUAAGUACAUCGCCCAUCAGCUGUCCGUCAUUUACCACGUUCUCAGCUCCUUCAAAGGCAUCUUGCCAUUAUCAGUUUUGAAGAGGGACAUUGAGGCCAACUUCAAAAAUCUGAAAAUGGCUCUUGUGACGGAAGAAGGUUCAAAGCAGGAGCCCCAGUUACCAGCACACUAUGCGAACUGGAUACUAGAUGUGACUCAUGGCAUUAUAUCCACUGUGUCCACACUGCCUGAAGAACUGACCCAAGACCUCAGCCUAGCCAUGGGUUUUGUGUCCAACCUCACCUGACCAGGGUUGCCAGGGACCGUUCUUGAUUUGUCUUCUGUCUGUGGGGUGGAGUCACAUUUCAGCUCGUCUUCAUUUGCCCAUGAGUACAAAUUAUUUUAAAGGUGAAUAAUUUGCAAAGUUCUGUAUUUCAGUAUGUUUUUCUAGUAAAGAUUGAUUAGUACAACUGAACUAGUGGAUUAGUGUGGAUUGAUCUGUACCUGUAUGGGUCUGAGCUGGGAAAUAAUCAGGUGUUGCUGUACCUCUGCUGGCCAAUAGCAAAGACCAGUUGCUCAGGACUUCUUAUAUUAACUCAUUUCUUCCAGGGUCAUUAUAGUGUGUUUAGUCUUAAGAAAACAAUUAAUUACAUUUUAGUAUUGUGCACGGGGGGGUGCGGUGGCGCAGUGGCGCAGUGGGUUGGACCGGGUCCUGCUCUCCGGUGGGUCUGGGGUUCGAGUCCCGCUUGGGGUGCCUUGCGACGGACUGGCGUCCUGUCCUGGGUGUGUCCCCUCCCCCUCCGGCCUUACGACCUGUGUUACCGGGUAGGCUCCGGUUCCCCGCGACUCCAUAUGGGACAAGCGGUUCAGAAAAUGUGUGUGUGUGUGUGUGUGUGUAUUGUGCACAUACUAAACAAACAUUUUCCUUGUUAUUUUGGUGUAUUCAUAUACGGAGUGUGUAUUUGUUGCAGUUUCAGUUGAAACUAAAAUGACAUGAUUUUAGUAUUUAAUCUACUUGAAAUGUUAUAUAUCAUAACCUCAUAGCCUUUUAGCAGAUAUAAAACAAAAUAUUCUGCCUUCCAGUAUGGCUGCAUUUCUAAAAAAAUUGAUGAUUAUUUAUCAUAAACUGUAGCGAGAAUAUAGCAGAGGUUAAUCCAGUGUUCAAGGCACUUCCAGUCAGAUUUUUUUAGGCUAAAAUUUAGAAAAAUUAGUUUUCUUGAUAUUUGAACUACCAUGUCAAUUAGCUGUAAAAUAUGGUUAUAAUAUACAGUACAGUGGUGGGGGGUGCAGUGGCGCAGUGGGUUGGACUGGGUCCUGUUCUCCGGUGGGUCUGGGGUUUGAGUCCUGUUUGGGGUGCCUUGCAGUGGACUGGCGUCCCAUCCUGGGUGUGUCCCCUCCCCCUCCAGCCUUUCAUCUUGUGUUGCCGGGUUACGCUCCGGCUCCCCGCGACCCCGUAUGGGACAAGCGGUUUCAGAUAAUGUGUGUGUGUGAGUACAGUGUGUAUCACUUUCUGUAUACUUGGUGCAGUGAUGUUAGUUCAGUGUCUAGUUUUGCCUUGUUUUGCCUUGUUUCCGAGAAGUACAAUAAAGUCUAAAAAGGAUAAGAUUUCCA
ensembl:lncRNA